rnacentral:rRNA from 1 species
GACGAACGCUGGCGGCGUGCCUAACACAUGCAAGUCGAGCGGAGACAGUGAGUAGCUUGCUAUGAGCUGUUUUAGCGGCGGACGGGUGAGUAACGCGUGAGCAACCUUUUCCAGACAGGGGAAUAACACACCGAAAGGUCUACUAAUACCGCAUAAGACCCCGGGAUCACAUGGUUCUGAGGUAAAAGGUUUAUCGGGUUGGGGUGGGCUCGCGUCCGAUUAGGUAGUUGGUGAGGUAACGGCCCACCCAGCCGACGAUCGGUAGCCGACCUGAGAGGGUGAUCGGCCACAGUGGGGCUGAGGCACGGCCCAAACUCCUACGGGAGGCAGCAGUGGGGAAUAUUGGGCAAUGGAGGAAACUCUGACCCAGCAACGCCGCGUGGAGGAAGAAGGUUUUCGGAUCGUAAACUCCUGUCCGUGGAGACGAGUGGAAGACGGUACCCAAGGAGGAAGCCCCGGCUAACUACGUGCCAGCCGCCGCGGUAAAAC